CUGACACCCUCAUGCAGCCCAUCCGCAAAGUUCAGUGCGCGACCCACUUCUAAAAGGUCAGAGGAAAGGCAUGGAACAACCCAGAUGUUGUGGUGGAUGACCUCUUAACGCCCUGCUCUCCAAAUGACCCAGGCACAAUCCAGAUGACCUGGGUGGAUGCAGCGAGCGAUAAACUCCUGGAGCCGAUAGUCAGCUUGGAGGACAUGUUGAGGUCGCUUGAGAAAACCAAGCCCACUGUGAACGAGGAGGAUCUGGAGAAGCUGAAGCAGUUCACUGAGGACUUUGGCCAGGAGGGAUGAAUUUUUGCAGGAUUCACGUGGCAUUUAUUUAUUUUUUUCCAUCAUGUUUACAAAGCUCCCUCUCCAUAUUUUAUUUUUCAAAUUCUUUGAUCAGUCUUUAACCCUGAGAUUUUUUGGGAGGUGUAACAAUUUUGUGAGCCUUAAUAUUAUCCUGAACAUAACCAUUCAGAUCAGAUAUCCAUUCAUUAUUACUAAAAGUCCUCUUAAUUUUAAAUGGUUUGUUGCAAAUGGGUCAUGAUAUUUUUACUUGGACUUUUGAGAGAGAUUAAAAAAAAAAAGAUCAUUUGUAUUUAAGUUGGUCACUUGUGCCUUAAUAUCUGGUUACUUUUGUACCUUAUUGCCAAAUAAGACUUAAAAACGACUGGUCUUAAAACCACUAACUUUAAAGCGAAUAAAUACAAAGACAACCAGUGAGCUGUGAAAAAGUGUUUACAAAUAUGUGAAUACAUGUUUUGGGUGUGUAGACCUCUUUCUUUGUCGCCUUUGAAGUGUUUAUUAUUUUUCUACUUUCGUCAGUAAAUGAAAUGUUUAAACUACC